rnacentral:rRNA from 1 species
CCUACGGGAGGCAGCAGUGAGGAAUAUUGGUCAAUGGACGAGAGUCUGAACCAGCCAAGUAGCGUGAAGGAUGACUGCCCUAUGGGUUGUAAACUUCUUUUAUAUGGGAAUAAAAUGUUCCACGUGUGGGAUUUUGUAUGUACCAUAUGAAUAAGGAUCGGCUAACUCCGUGCCAGCAGCCGCGGUAAUACGGAGGAUCCGAGCGUUAUCCGGAUUUAUUGGGUUUAAAGGGAGCGUAGGUGGAUUGUUAAGUCAGUUGUGAAAGUUUGAGGCUCAACCGUAAAAUUGCAGUUGAAACUGGCAGUCUUGAGUACAGUAGAGGUGGGCGGAAUUCGUGGUGUAGCGGUGAAAUGCUUAGAUAUCACGAAGAACUCCGAUUGCGAAGGCAGUUCACUGGACUGCAACUGACACUGAGGCUCGAAAGUGUGGGUAUCAAACAGGAUUAGAUACCCCUGUAGUC